rnacentral:rRNA from 1 species
AGGCGGAAGUUUUCGGAUGGAAGCUAGAUUGACUGAGUGGCGGACGGGUGAGUAACGCGUGGGUAACCUGCCUCGCACUGGGGGACAACAGUUAGAAAUGACUGCUAAUACCGCAUAAGCGCACAGGACCGCAUGGUCCGGUGUGAAAAACUCCGGUGGUGUGAGAUGGACCCGCGUUUGAUUAGCUAGUUGGUGGGGUAACGGCCUACCAAGGCGACGAUCAAUAGCCGACCUGAGAGACCGACCGGCCACAUUGGGACUGAGAUACGGCCCAGACUCC